rnacentral:rRNA from 1 species
UACGUAGGGGGCAAGCGUUGUCCGGAAUCAUUGGGCGUAAAGAGCGUGUAGGCGGUUCGGUAAGUCGGCUGUGAAAGUCCAGGGCUCAACCCUGGGAUGCCGGUCGAUACUGCCGGACUAGAGUUCGGAAGAGGCGAGUGGAAUUCCCGGUGUAGCAGUGAAAUGCGUAGAGAUCGGGAGGAACAUCAGUUGCGAAGGCGGCUCUCUGGACCAGCACUGACACUGAGGCACGAAAGCGUGGGGAGCAAACAGG